UGUGUGUGCAUGUGUGCAGCUGCAUGCAUUCUACAGUGCAUGUGUGGAGAUCAUAGAGCAACCUCCAGUGUUGCUUCUCACCUUCCAUCUUAUUUGACCCAGAGUCUCUAGUUCACUGCAUAUAUACUAGGCUAGGCCUGGGACCAUCCAGAGAGUUUCCUAUUUCCACCUCCCAUCUCAUUGUGGUGGCACUGGAAUUACACACAUACACACACACACACACACACACGCACACACACAUACAUGCCUGGAGUUGUAACCUCAGGUCAUCAUGCUUGCAAAGCCCCAACCCCUCUCCACCUAGUUCUUUGAGUCUCUCACUGACCCUGGCCCUCUCCUGUUAGUCUAGGCUGGCUGACCAAUGAGCUCUGGAGACCUAGCUUGUCACCCCCCCACCCCCCCUGCUGGAGUUAAGGACUCACACCACAGCCUCUUACAUGAAUGCUAAGGAUCUGACCUCAGACCCUCAUGCUUACAGAGCAGGCGGCUCAUUAUCAACUGAGCCAUCUCCCCACCCCCCAGAGCUUGCUUAUAAAGGAAGCCACGGUGAAAAACGCCCAGGGUGUCUUCAGCUUCAUUAGCACACGUGUUAAUAUCUGAGUCCAUAAAUAUUACAGAACCUUCCAGGGAGGAUUGGGAAAGGGAGAGAUAAGAGAGGGGAUUGUUUCUGUCUAAAUCAGAGUUCAUGGUUUGCAUGAAGCAACUGUUCUCCAUGCUGUU
rnacentral:lncRNA from 1 species